GCAUUAAUGGGGUAGUGGUAACCUGGGUCGUUGCCAUAAGGAUGAAUGCCGGGUUACAGUGCAUCAUCGACCCGCCGGGGGUUCGAUUCCCUCUUAAUGCA
rnacentral:tRNA from 1 species